ncrna:unclassified sequences AdoCbl variant RNA
AUACUGAAUCAUGGUGGGGAAUAAUGUGAGAAUCAUUAGCUGUUCCUGCAACGGUAAAGUCCGAGUGCCACCCAGUAG